rnacentral:lncRNA from 1 species
CUAAAUUCAUAAGAAGUUAAUUUUGAUGUAAUGGGUACCUUUGAAUAUUUAAUAUAGACACCACUCAACUUCUUAGAUUGGAACAAAGUGAAGACCUAAAACUUUUUGUAUGACAAUAAAUGCUGCCUCUUAUAUUGAAAUUAAUUGAAUUUAGAAAAAGUAAAAUUCUCACAAUUAAAAAAAAACUCUUGUCACAGAAUGUUGCAUCUGAUUUUGUGAAUAAAGCUAAAGAAGUAAAAUAAGGAGUUGAUGUGUUGUAACUUAGUAGCUACAGACUAUCUUUUGUGUAUCAUUAUUUAAAUAUCGGUAGUAUGUAUGGUUUUCUGAAUCCCCAAAUCAUGUCACAGUUUAAGUCUACAUGUGAACAAAAAUAAUGGCUCAAGGUAGAGCCCUAAAAUACCCAUUUCAUGAAACACAAGGGGUUGGUAGAAAUUAUGACCUUUUUUUUUGUCAAAAGUUUGGCAUAUGGUAUAGACCUACGGCUGUUGUUGAGUUGAUGUCUUAUGGCAAAAUAACAUAUUUCUGUUCAUCAAUGUUACAUUUGAAUUUAAAUGGGCAGAGAAUCAUUAGAACUGUUCAAUUUUAAUUUCUUGUACAUGAUGUUACAAAAAUCUUUCAUCAAUAUUUAAUAAUUUUUAAAUAAGUGUUUUGUUGAAUAGAUCUGUUAGGGCCUAGCCAAAGUUUUUUUAUUGUGAGAAAAUAUUAAGUCGUCUAAAGAUGAAAAUAUUCAUUUAACUGUAACAUCUCAUUAAUUUAUACAAGUACAAUUAUACAUAACACAGUAAGAUUAGGGAAAUAUUGAUUGUCAAUACUAAAUUCAUAAUUUGACACUCAGUUCAUAGAAACACUUGCUUUUUGCAGAAGUUAAGGGGUAAAUAGUUUUGUGUACUUCUUGGAUUUUUGGACCAAAAUUUGAUGAGUUUUGUCAUUUUGAAGGUCUGUAGGACAAGAUAAAAAUUCACUUGUAAUUCCUUUUGGCCUAGAAAAAAGGGCACUCUAUAAUUGAAAAUUAUACAGUAAAGGCAAAAAUGGACUUGUCAGAUUGUCCAAUAAAAAAGAUUUGAAAGGUUGGUUUUUUAUUGAAGCAAAGUUAUUCAAAUAUGUGUACUUGAUAGUAAUGUAUAAAAUAUUGUUUACUUGCUUGUUAGAAAUUUGUAAGUACAGAUAAGAAAAAACAUGUUAUUCACGAACAUUUUUUUUUCAAUCCUAUUAUUUUUCAGUGUUUCAAAAUUUAUUGCAUGGGUAACCAAACAAACAAGCAAUCUUAUGGUAAAGUAAAACUUUAUUUGGUCAAAUAAUAAACGUGCUUGAUAUGAACAACUCCUCCUUACUACUGUUAUCAAUAUAUAUAAUGUUGGAUUUUGUACUUGUUUUGUGUUUACACAGUCAUGUUUACAUCUGUGAUAAUCUAUGUAUCAAUAUGCUAUAUUUUGAAUUAAUUGACCUUUUUGAGAUUGUUUUUUUGUGUUUUGUG